ACGUAGGUGGCAAGCGUUGUCCGGAUUUACUGGGUGUAAAGGGAGCGCAGGCGGGACAGCAAGUUGGAUGUGAAAUACCGGAGCUUAACUCCGGAGCUGCAUCCAAAACUGUUGUUCUUGAGUGAAGUAGAGGUUGGCGGAAUUCCGAGUGUAGCGGUGAAAUGCGUAGAUAUUCGGAGGAACACCAGUGGCGAAGGCGGCCAACUGGGCUUUAACUGACGCUGAGGCUCGAAAGCAUGGGGAGCAAACAG
rnacentral:rRNA from 1 species